UUAAGUCUAUAGAUUUACAGGUGGCUCGUGAGGGUACGGGGGUCGGUACCAGGAACUUCGCAAGGCUAUCCUUGCUGAGGUACCUGAGGCCGAUGUCAGUGGGCAGGUCGGACGCUCCUCAACCUAUGAGGUUUCAAUAAACGGCCAACUUGUCUUCUCCAAGUUGAAGACACAAGGGUUCCCAGAUGAAAAACAUGUGAUCGCCCAGGUCCAGGCUGCUCAUAAAGGAGAGAGCAUGACGGAGAUCACAGAUUCUCAGUCUCCAGGCUGUACCAUUCUGUAGAGGAGGGGUGACAGACCCGCUAUAUUAACCUUAUCCAACAUUGGCAGGCCUUGAACAUCAUCCAUGUCACUUCUACAAGUUGUUCUGACUCCCCUCUGUAUCUACAAUAGACUCUCCUUCAUGUCCAUAUGCAUUCCUGGCCUACCAAGGAGGACACCUUGUUAUGUCAAAGGUCAAAAUUUAACACAACAAGAAAUUUCUACAUUUGAUUAAAGAGGGAAAACAAAGUAAAAUAAAAACAUCUUAGAUGCAAAAAUACACAAAUAGCAACCAGACCUGACCAUGAAUAAUGACAAUCACAAGUUAAACUGUAUGUUAAAAAGGAUUGGGACAAAUUUAAUGUUAAAUGCUGUGAUAAUUCUUACCAUAAAUUUAUAUUGUAAGUUUGUAAUAUUAUACAGAAUUCAGCUCAACAGAAAUGAUAUCCUGGUGUAUUUCUUUAUUAAAAAGUUUGUAGAGACAUGUUUUUCAUUUUAAAUUGACAAAAAGGAUUCCGGAACUGCUUUUAUGCAAAUAUUUCUCCUGAAAUAUGGAAAGGAUAUUGUGUUAAUUUAUUCACCCCUGAAAUUUCACAAUGAACUAUUCCAACCUUUGAAUUGGAAGAGUUCAUAAGUGUAUUUAGGGGUGAAUGAGUUAAUUAGUAGGAUACGUAAUAAACAAAAAUAAUUAUAUCUUUUCAUUUAGAAGUUACUACUUAAGGAAAUAUAUGUAAAUACCCUCAUAUGUUUGAUAAUUAAUGUUAAGUGUAUAAAAACAAUUAGUGUGUGUAAAUGCAUUCAGGCCAAAAUAAAUUCUGUGUGUUUAGGGUUACAAGGUGAAAUUGGUUAUCGGGUUGGAUCAAAUAUAAAUAUUUUCAGAAUUUUUCUGACAUUGUUUUGUAAAUUAAAAUAACUGCAUUUACUCGAUGAUUAAACUAUUUUAAAGUAAAUCAUGCUUGGUUUCAACUUGAAUGCAUGCAUACAUGCAUAUCAAUGUGAUGAAACAUUUUUUAAAAGCAUAUGAAAAUGUCAUGCCCACCAACAAAUUUGAGAUUUUUUUAAAAGUUGAAAUUAAGAGCAAAUGAUUUUCAGUGGGUAAGGAACUCUAAACACAAGUAUUUGCCUCAUAAAUAGAACAGAUAUCACGUAGAAGUGUCCAGGAGCAGGGUUUGCCAUGUUUUUCAACUGUUGUGAAUAAUUUCUUUAAUUUUCUCAGUGUUUGAGAGCUGGUGAAUCGCUCAUGAAAUUAAAAUGCCGAAGUCCUAUGGAAAGGCAUCUUAAUGGAUAGUUUAGAUAAAAAACAGUUCUCAACACCAGAUAAAGAUUGAAGAAAUAAAUUACCUCAGUUUUGUAUAUAAAUUGUGAUAUGUUUUAUGUUUUUUAUUUAUUGUAUUUUUUUGUUUUCAUAUAUUUCAGAAUGAUCAUAUAUAUAAUCUAAGCAAUAUUCAUUAAGUUUUGAAAAGAAGUAUAAAACACCAGAAAAACAUGAUAUUACUGUACUUAUCCUGUAAUACGCUCAUGUCUGGUCACAAGCCCACCCAUAUCUCUUGCAAUUCAGUAGACAGACCAACAUAGUUUUUCAUUGUCCUGUGGUCAACCUACCCACCUGUUUUGAGUCAGAGAUUACAUGUUGCCCAUCUGGACUUAUUGCAGGAUAAAUAUUGUAUUGCACAUUAGUGGAGACAAAAUGUUAAGGUGUCAACCAGAAAUAUAUUAUCUAAUACCCCUAGUGCAAAAUAAAAAAAUAAAUAAAAUGAUAUAAUUUUUGAGUUCUCAAAUUUGACUUUCUAAUUUCAAUUGUUAAAUUUUAAACCCUUUCUUUAAAGUUGAGAUCCUCUAUUUUGUUUGGGAUCAUAAAGACAAACCCACUGACAGCUAAUGAAAUGUAAUUUAUCCAUUGACUGAGUUCCUGGUCUAGGCAGGCCAAAAUAUAAAAAAAGUUUCAUGUUAUUAGAAUAGAGAUAUUCUGGUCACAAGUGAUUUUUCUUGAUCUCAAAGUGUGUUCCUUAAUAAAAUAUUUUUUAUUACAAACAUUUUGUAUGUUACACAAGAAAAGAUGUAUUUUAUUUCAUUUAUCAUUAACUCAUUCACCCCUGAAGACACAUUUGAACUCUUCCAAUUCAAAGGUUGGAAUAGUCUAUUAUGAUAUUUUAGGGGUGAAUGAGUUAAUGAAUUGGUGUUCGUUUUGAAUAUCACACAUAUGGAUACCAUAAUCUUUGUUUGUUGCCACUUGCUACCAUGUAAAAAUGGUUGGGUUUUGGUUUGAUCAUAAUUCCAUAAACUUUUAUUGUCAAUAUUGAUAAAAUACUCGCUGUACAAAGCCCAUUGGUACAAUACCUGAUAAUGUUACAGCCAUCAAGGAAUAGCUGAAUUUUAAUUGGCGAGGUGGUUUGAGAUUAUCAUUUUUAGAUAAAAAAAUGCAUGGUGAAAAAAGGUAUUAAAAUCCUACUGUGAGGCUAUUUAUUAUUCAUGUUAAUUAUAAUUGAAGAGGAGAUAACUCGGACAAGAGCCUGAAUCAAAUGAUCAAAAAUGAAUGUAUGAUAUUGUCACAAAUGAUCGGUAGAAAUUAGGUUAUUCCAUCACUGAUGCUGAGUUUUAGGAAGCUAAUUAGCUUUGAUCACAGAUGGACAUAAUUCUAAGUACCUUUUGUUUGUUCUUCUGCUUGAAAUCCUGGUUAAAGGAGGAAAUGAGGACUGCUUAUAUCAUAUCUAGUCAUCAAUAACAUUUUGAAUAAAAACAUCGCACCAGAAA